GAACGAGGAUAUAUCCUUCGGGAUAUAAGCCGAGUGGCACAAGGGUGAGCAAUGCAUAGAUUACCUACCUUUAGGAUAAGGGCAACUUUGUGAAAACGGAGCUAAUACUUAAUAAUACAAAAGAAAAUAAUUUUCUUUUGUCAAAGGGAGGGUAGCAAUACCUUUCGCCUAGAGAGGGGUUUAUGUCCUAUCAGCUUGUUGGUGGGGUAAUGGCCUACCAAGGCGAAGACGGGUAGCCGGUCUUAGAGGAUGGUCGGCCACACUGGGACUGAGACACUGCCCAGACUUCUACGGAAGGCUGCAGUCGAGAAUCUUUCGCAAUGCCCGAAAGGGUGACGAAGCGACGCCGCGUGAGUGAGGAAGGCCUUCGGGUUGUAAAGCUCUGUCAGGAGUUAAGAAAUGUAAGUGUGCUAAUACCACAUUUACUUGACGAAGGCUCCAAAGGAAGCCACGGCUAACUCUGUGCCAGCAGCCGCGGUAACACAGAGGUGGCAAGCGUUGUUCGGAAUUAUUGGGCGUAAAGAGCACGUAGGUGGGUUUGUAAGUCAGAUGUGAAAGCCUUCUGUUCAACGGAAGAAUUGCAUCUGAAACUGCAAGUCUUGAGUGUAGGAGGGGGGAAUGGAACUUCUGGUGGAGCGGUGAAAUGCGUAGAUAUCAGAAGGAACGCCGGCGGCGAAAGCGAUUCUCUGGCCUAUUACUGACACUCAGUGUGCGAAAGCUAGGGGAGCAAACGGGAUUAGAUACCCCGGUAGUCCUAGCCGUAAACGAUGGGCACUAAGUAGAGGGAAUUACCGAUGUUCUCUCUGCCGUAGCUAACGCAUUAAGUGCCCCGCCUGGGGAGUACGGCCGCAAGGCUAAAACUCAAAAGAAUUGACGGGGGCUCGCACAAGCGGUGGAGCAUGUGGCUUAAUUCGAUGCAACGCGAAAAACCUUACCGGGGCUUGACAUGGUAGAAGUAGGAACCCGAAAGGGUAACGAACGGUAUCCAGUCCGUAGCUAUCACAGGUGUUGCAUGGCUGUCGUCAGCUCGUGUCGUGAGACGUUGGGUUAAGUCCCCUAACGAGCGAAACCCUUGUUUUUAGUUACCAGCGGGUUAUGCCGGGUACUCUAGAAAGACUGCCGUCGUCAAGACGGAGGAAGGUGGGGAUGACGUCAAGUCAUCAUGGCCCUUAUGCCCCGGGCUGCACACGUGCUACAAUGGUCGGUACAAACGGAAGCGAAGCCGAGAGGUGGAGCGAAUCCUAAAAAGCCGAUCUCAGUUCGGAUUGGAGGCUGAAAUUCGCCUCUAUGAAGUUGGAAUCGCUAGUAAUCGCGGAUCAGCAUUGCCGCGGUGAAUAUGUUCCCGAGCCUUGUACACACCGCCCGUCAAGCCACCCAAGCAGGAUGCACCCGAAAACAUUAUAUCUAACCAGGCUUGCCUGGAGGAAAGUGUUGAAGGAGUGUUUUGUGAGGAGGACU
rnacentral:rRNA from 1 species